GACGAACGCUGGCGGCGUGCCUAAUACACGCAAGUCGAGCGAAGUUUUUCUGGUGCUUGCACCGGAAAAACUUAGCGGCGAACGGGUGAGUAACACGUAAAGAACCUGCCUCAUAGACUGGGACAACUAUUGGAAACGAUAGCUAAUACCGGAUAAUAGCAUUAACUGCAUGGUUGAUGUUUAAAAGUUGGUUUUGCUAACACUAUGAGAUGGCUUUGCGGUGCAUUAGCUAGUUGGUGGGGUAAAGGCCUACCAAGGCGACGAUGCAUAGCCGACCUGAGAGGGUGAUCGGCCACACUGGGACUGAGACACGGCCCAGACUCCUACGGGAGGCAGCAGUAGGGAAUCUUCCGCAAUGGGCGAAAGCCUGACGGAGCAACGCCGCGUGAGUGAAGAAGGAUUUCGGUUCGUAAAGCUCUGUUGUUAGGGAAGAAUGAUUGUGUAGUAACGAUACACAGUAGAGACGGUACCUAACCAGAAAGCCACGGCUAACUACGUG
rnacentral:rRNA from 1 species